rnacentral:rRNA from 1 species
UUUCCUACGGGAGGCAGCAGUGAGGAAUAUUGGUCAAUGGGCGAGAGCCUGAACCAGCCAAGUCGCGUGAGGGAUGACUGCCCUAUGGGUUGUAAACCUCUUUUGUAUGGGGGGAAUAAGCUUUACGAGUAGAGUGAUGACAGUACCAUACGAAUAAGCAUCGGCUAACUCCGUGCCAGCAGCCGCGGUAAUACGGAGGAUGCGAGCGUUAUCCGGAUUUAUUGGGUUUAAAGGGUGCGUAGGCGGGCUUUUAAGUCAGCGGUAAAAAUUCGGGGCUCAACCCCGUCCGGCCGUUGAAACUGGGG